UACGUAGGGGGCAAGCGUUGUCCGGAUUCAUUGGGCGUAAAGAGCGUGUAGGCGGCCAGGUAGGUCGGUUGUGAAAACUGGAGGCUCAACCUUCAGAGGUCGACCGAAACCAUCUGGCUAGAGUCCGGGAGAGGAGAGUGGAAUUCCUGGUGUAGCGGUGAAAUGCGCAGAUAUCAGGAAGAACACCCGUGGCGAAAGCGGCUCUCUGGAACGGGUACUGACGCUGAGACGCGAAAAGCGUGGGGGAGCGAACAGGG
rnacentral:rRNA from 1 species